rnacentral:rRNA from 1 species
UACGAAGGGGGCUAGCGUUGUUCGGAAUCACUGGGCGUAAAGCGCACGUAAGCGGAUCUUUAAGUCAGGGGUGAAAUCCCGAGGCUCAACCUCGGAACUGCCUUUGAUACUGGGGAUCUCGAGUCCGGGAGAGGUGAGUGGAACUGCGAGUGUAGAGGUGAAAUUCGUAGAUAUUCGCAAGAACACCAGUGGCGAAGGCGGCUCACUGGCCCGGUACUGACGCUGAGGUGCGAAAGCGUGGGGAGCAAACAGG